UACGGAGGGUGCAAGCGUUAUCCGGAUUCACUGGGUUUAAAGGGUGCGUAGGCGGGCAGGUAAGUCAGUGGUGAAAUCUCCGGGCUUAACCCGGAAACUGCCGUUGAUACUAUCUGUCUUGAAUAUCGUGGAGGUAAUCGGAAUAUGUCAUGUAGCGGUGAAAUGCUUAGAUAUGACAUAGAACACCCAUUGCGAAGGCAGCUUACUACACGAUCAUUGACGCUGAGGCACGAAAGCGUGGGGAGCAAACAGG
rnacentral:rRNA from 1 species